AAAGCGUGCGCAGGCGGUUAUGUAAGACAGAUGUGAAAUCCCCGGGCUCAACCUGGGAACUGCAUUAGUGACUGCAUAGCUGGAGUACGGCAGAGGGGGAUGGAAUUCCGCGUGUAGCAGUGAAAUGCGUAGAUAUGCGGAGGAACACCGAUGGCGAAGGCAAUCCCCUGGGCCUGCACUGACGCUCAUGCACGAAAGCGUGGGGAGCAAACAGGAUUAGAUACCCCGGU
rnacentral:rRNA from 1 species